rnacentral:rRNA from 1 species
GGAGUUAGCCGGUGCUUCUUCUGUGAGUGAUGUCCUUCCUGCCGGCUAUUAACCCGCAGGCCUUCUUCCUCACUGAAAGUGCUUUACAACCCGAAGGCCUUCUUCACACACGCGGCAUGGCUGGAUCAGGGUUGCCCCCAUUGUCCAAUAUUCCCCACUGCUGCCUCCCGUAGGAGUCUGGGCCGUGUCUCAGUCCCAGUGUGGCUGAUCAUCCUCUCAGACCAGCUACGGAUCGUCGCCUUGGUGAGCCGUUACCUCACCAACCAGCUAAUCCGACAUAGGCUCAUCCGAUAGCGCGAGGCCCGAAGGUCCCCCGCUUUCCCCCGUAGGGCGUAUGAGGUAUUAGCCUGGGUUUCCCCAGGUUAUCCCCCACUACCGGGCAGAUUCCUAUGCAUUACUCACCCGUCCGCCGCUCGCCACCAGGGAGCAAGCUCCCCGUGCUGCCGCUCGACUUGCAUGUGUUAGGCCUGCCGCCAGCGUUCAAUCUGAGCCAGAAUCGAACCCUGA